UCUCUCUCUCUCUCUCUCUCUCUCUCUCUCUUUUUCUUAGGGCACAGAGGAGGUUGCGAUGAUGGUAUUCUCGUUAAUCCGAUUUUCUCAUUAAUAUGAGGACACCAUCAAAUCCUUUCACAACACAUACUCUGAGCACCUCCUCUUUACUGAUUUAUUUUUCCUUUUCAAAAAAGUUUUUUUUUUUUUUUUUUUUUUUUAAAAAAGAAGCUAUAUGUGUUGUUACUGUGCCCGAUUUAUUUUACAUACCAUGUUCAGAGGCUACUAUGAAUUAGACCUCCGAACUUUUUAAUCUUCUUCGUUGGUAUUCUUCAACUUUUAUUCAAAUUGGUUUAAGUUAUUUUUAUUGUUAAUCAUUGAUGCAAUUUAUUUUAUGUGCAACUAAGAACUCGCAUAAUAGAGAACUACUAAAAUAAAAAUGAUUAAAAAAUGGAAAUGUGUAAAUUAGAAAAGAAAAUUCAAGUUCAAGGGAUCAUAUUUAAAUUUUCACUGAGAGCUGUUUUUGUUUUUUUUUUUAAUGUAAGCAAAUAUCUCUGCCACCUUAACCCCAAUAAAUCUCUGCAAAAGAACUGCCCUUGAAUCCAAAAUCCUGCAUUGCAAAGCGCAAUGGCCAAAAUUCUCUAUAAUUUCAAGAUUGAAAUUCAAUUGUUUGUAAGUAAAGUAUUUUUGAAUUUUAAUGUAAUGUGAGGAGAUAAUCCGACAUGCGCUGCGGCGGGGUCUAACCAAUCACAAUUGUCUGAAAACUUUCUCAGUGUUGCCUUGUAUUGUAGAUGGAUUAUCAGAAGCAGCUUAUCCUGAAGAAGCCAAACUGAAUGUUUUCACUGCUCCUGAUUUGGUCUGAGAGUUGCCUGGGUCUGCGAGUCUCGCAAGUCUCAAAUGCAUAUCUUUGAUGCCGUAAGCUGACCAGGUUAUGAAAUAGUUCAGAAUCAUUCUCCACGAAUUUAUUAGAAGUGAUUCACUUUGUUUUCAUCGGGUAACAAGGGAGAAGGAUUACCCAUGGUUUAGUCACUGCACCAGCACAUGUUCUUGAGAGAUGCAACUUCUUGAAAGCAGAAUUUCAAGCCUCUUUCAGCUUUUUAUUAGAGUUUCCUGCAAACGUCUUGUCAGUACCAGUAUCUCAAUAUAAAGCAGUUCAUUGAUUUAUUGUAAAAAGCAACUCCAUCAUCACCCCAAUAUGCUUCAUCAAUCA